rnacentral:rRNA from 1 species
AUUGAACGCUGGCGGCAUGCCUUACACAUGCAAGUCGAACGGUAACAGGUCUUCGGAUGCUGACGAGUGGCGAACGGGUGAGUAAUACAUCGGAACGUGCCUAGUCGUGGGGGAUAACUACUCGAAAGAGUGGCCAAUACCGCAUGAGAUCUACGGACGAAAGCAGGGGAUCGCAAGACCUUGUGCUACUAGAGCGGCCGAUGUCAGAUGAGGUAGUUGGUGGGAUAAAAGCUUACCAAGCCGACGAUCUGUAGCUGGUCUGAGAGGACGAUCAGCCACACUGGGACUGAGACACGGCCCAGACUCCUACGGGAGGCAGCAGUGGGGAAUUUUGGACAAUGGGCGCAAGCCUGAUCCAGCAAUGCCGCGUGCAGGAUGAAGGCCUUCGGGUUGUAAACUGCUUUUGUACGGAACGAAAAGCCCUGGGUUAAUACCCUGGGGUCAUGACGGUACCGUAAGAAUAAGCACCUGCUAACUACGUGCCAGCCGCCGCAGUAA